AACUAUUUAAAUAAAAAAAGGCAUUUGAAGAAAAUAUUGGUAAACUAAAGUUAAUUAAGGACGUGACGUUUCGAAACUUGUAAGGAGGUUUUGACUUGUGAUUUACAAAUUUCCUAAUUUAAAAAAUAAAAUUCUUAAUAUUUUGUGAAUUGAAUCAUCUUAGUAACAAUAAAAUUAAAAUCAACCGAUAAUUUAUUAGUAGCGGUGAGCGAAAAUAAAUUUUUUAAGUCUAAAAACAUUAAAAAUAAAAUAAAAAAUUUAAAACAAAUACAAAAAAAGGUUUAAGUCCUGUCAAUUAUUUAUUUAUUUUAAUUGUUUUUAAAUAAAGUAAAAUGUAAUUACAUUUGAAAAUUUUAAGGAGAACCACCUUCUAAACUUAAAAAUUUAGUUUAAUCGAUAGUAAAAGAGUAUUGUGAAUAAAAAUUGAAAAAAAUUGAAAAAAAUAAUUAAAAAUUGAAUGUCUAAUUAAUUACUUGAAGUAAAACUACAACAAGAUGCUUUUUGCAGAACGAGUCAGUAAGUUAAAAGUUAUAGCAAAAUAAUUAAAAAUCUAAAUUAUAAAGUUAUAAUUAUUAAACCUGAAACCAAGUGAUCUAAUUAUGAAUAAGUUGAUUUUAAUGUAACAAUUAAUUAAUGGCUGAACUUAUGUAUGUGGCAAAAUGCAAAGAAAAUUUAUAAUUAGGAGUGAAAGACUAAUCAAACUUGGUAAUAGCCGGUUUUUCACGAAAUGUAUUUUAGUACAGCUUCAUUAAUUUUUUUUAUUAGGGUAAAGUAAAAAAUUUCUUUAAAGCAAAUUUUUAACUUCAAAUUUAAUAAAAAAAUAAUGUUAGUCAGUCCUAAAGCGAUAAGGUUUUUGGACAAAAGGAAAACAAUCCAGCUCAUAUGUUAAGGUAUUAAAUUAUAAAAAUUAAAAUAAGAUAAAUUUAAAUUUAAAUACUAAAAUAGACUUAGAAGCAGUUCUUUAUUUGAGAAAGCGUUUUAGCUCAUUAUUUGUUUUAAAUUUAUUAAAAAUUUUGGAUACUAAAUUAUAAACCGAUACAAUGAAUAAAAUUUUAUUUAUGGUAGUGAAACAUUUUGUUAAAUUAAAAAAAGAGUAAUCAAUUUCUACACAAAAAUGCAAAUGCUGACAUGAGUAACGAAAAUUAUGUUAAAAAAUCAUAAUCAUAAAAAAAUAGGUUUUCAAUGUACUUUAAAAUUCAUUGAGUGAGUCGGUUCUUAAGAAAAUAACUGAAUAGUUUAUUUGAUAGUUACAAAUUAAGUUUUACUAAAUUGUUUAUUUAAAAUAAAAAGUAAAAUUUAUGUUUUUACAAAAAAUUUAAUUAACAACUUUUUUACUUUUUCGAGAAAAAAGCAAUUAGCAAAAACCGUACUAAAUCCGACACAGGUUUAAUUUUAUGUUUGAAAAAAUUAUACUAAAGGAACUUGGCAAAUUAAUUCCGUAUGUUCGCUAAAAGGAAUGUCUAAAUAAGUUUUAGAUAUCAUAAACUAAAAAGCAACGACUGGUUAACAAAACCACAGGACUUUGCAAAUUAUUAAUAAGCUGUAUAAAGUCUGAAGCCUGCCCAGUGCUUAAAAAUGAAAAAUAAGAGAUUAAUAUUUCUUUAAUAAGUUUAAGUAAACGGCGGUUCUAACUAUAAGAAUCCUCAGGUAGCGAAAUUCCUUGGCGGGUAAAUUCCGUCCUGCAUGAAUGGCUUAACGAUUGCUUUACUGUCUCUAGUAUAAAUUCAGUGAAAUUACAAUAUUCAUGAAAAUGUGAAUUAUUUACAAUAAGACGGAAAGACCCUAGAUCCUUUACUUUUAUUUUAUAUUGUAAAAAUUAUUUAGUUUUAAUACAGAAUAAAUGGGAGUAAAAAACUUUUUGAGAUACCAUUUUACAAAAUUUUUUUACUUAAUUUGGUAAUUUAUAUCAAAAAACGUGUAAAAUAGAAAGUUUACUUGGGAUGAGUACCUCCUACAAAGUAACGGAGGUGUGCAAUGGUAAAAAAAUUAUAAUAGUAAUUUUGCUUGAUAAUAAAAUUAAUAAAUUAAAUUAAGACGAAAGUCAGUUAUAAUGACCCGAAUUUAAGUGUGGAAUUAAAUUCGUUCAACAGCUAAAAGGAACUCUAGGGAUAACAGAUUCAUCAUGAUUUAAAGUUCAUAUUGAAGUCAUGGUUUGAUACCUCGAUGUCGACUCAUCUUAUCCUGAAAUUGUAAACGAUUUCAAGGGUCUAGUUGUUCGCUAGUUAAAAAGGUACGUGAGUUGGGUUCAGAACGUCGUGAGACAGUUCGGUCCCUAUCUAUUGUAAAAUAAAAAAAUAUAAAGAAUUAUUUUUAGUACGAGAGGACCAAAAUAUUUUAACCACUAGCAAAUUGAUUAAAAUUAUAUUAUUUUAUGUCAAGUAGCCACGUUAAUAAAUUUAAAUACUGAAUACAUCAAAAGUAUAAAAAUUUCUUUCUUAUUUUUUUGAACAAUCUUUUUGAAAACAAGAUAGAUCGAUCUAAGUUUAAUUUUUAGUAAUAAAAAUAUUAUAGAUACGAAAUUGUCAAAAUAAAAUUUAUUAACUUAAUC
rnacentral:rRNA from 1 species